rnacentral:rRNA from 1 species
AGAGUUUGAUCCUGGCUCAGGACGAACGCUUGCGGCGUGCCUAAGAAAUGCAAGUCGAGCGGGGAGCAAUCCCAGCGGCGAACGGUCGCGUAACACGUAAGCAACCUGCCCGAAAGACCGGGAUAACGUUCCGAAAGGGGCGCUAAUACCGGAUGUGACCGCCGGGAGACAUCUCCUGGUGAUUAAAGCAUUCAUGGCUUUCGGAGGGGCUUGCGGCCUAUCAGCUAGAUGGCGGGGUAACGGCUCACCAUGGCGACGACGGGUAGCUGGUCUGAGAGGAUGGUCAGCCGGACUGGGACUGAGAUACGGCCCAGACUCCUACGGGGGGCAGCAAUUAGGAAUCUUGCGCAAUGGGCGAAAGCCUGACGCAGCGACGCCGCGUGGAGGAGGAAGGCCUUCGGGUUGUAAACUCCUUUUAGGUAGGAAGAAAUCAAUGACGGUACUACCUGAAUAAGCCCCGGCUAACUCCGUGCCAGCAGCCGCGGUAAUACGGAGGGGGCGAGCGUUGUCCGAAGUUACUGGGCGUAAAGCGCGCGUAGGUGGGUCAGCAAGUCCGCUGUGAAAGCCCGGAGCUUAACUCCGGAGGGUCGGUGGAUACUGUUGGUCUUGAAGGUGCUAGGGGGAGGUGGAAUUACCGGUGUAGCGGUGAAAUGCGUAGAGAUCGGUAGGAACACCAGUGGCGAAAGCGGCCUCCUGGGGCAUACUUGACGCUGAUGCGCGAAAGCUGGGGGAGCGAACGGGAUUAGAUACCCCGGUAGUCCCAGCCCUAAACGAUGGAUACUAGGUGUCAGGGGUAUCGACCCCCCUGGUGCCGCCGCUAACGCAGUAAGUAUCCCGCCUGGGGAGUACGGCCGCAAGGUUGAAACUCAAAGGAAUUGACGGGGGCCCGCACAAGCGGUGGAGCAUGUUGUUUAAUACGUCACUAACCGUAGAACCUUACCAGGGUUUGACAUGGCGUGCUAUGCUAUGAAAGUAGCCUUCUCCGCAAGGAGACACGCACACAGGUGUUGCAUGGCUGUCGUCAGCUCGUGUCGUGAGAUGUUGGGUUAAGUCCCGCAACGAGCGCAACCCUCAUCCCAUGUUGCCAACGGGUAAAGCCGGGAACUCUUGGGAAACUGCCGGGGUAACUCGGAGGAAGGUGAGGAUGACGUCAAGUCAGCAUGGCCCUUACACCCUGGGCUACAAACAUGCUACAAUGGACGGUAGACAGAGGGAUCCGAGACCGCGAGGGGGAGGCAAUCUCGGAAAUCCGUUCUCAGUUCGGAUCGCAGGCUGCAACUCGCCUGCGUGAAGUUGGAAUCGCUAGUAGCCGCAGAUCAGCUAAGCUGCGGUGAAUACGUUCCCGGGCCUUGUACACACCGCCCGUCACGUCACCUGAGUUGUCUGCACCCGAAGUCGGUGGGGUAACCGCAAGGAGCCAGCCGCCGAAGGUGUGGGGAGCGAGGGGGACGAAGUCGUAACAAGGUAGCCGUAUCGGAAGGUGCGGCUGGAUCACCUCCUU